rnacentral:rRNA from 1 species
UAGGGAAUCUUCGGCAAUGGGGGGAACCCUGACCGAGCAACGCCGCGUGAGUGAAGAAGGUUUUCGGAUCGUAAAGCUCUGUUGUUAAGGAAGAACGAGUGUGAGAAUGGAAAGUUCAUGCUGUGACGGUACUUAACCAGAAAGGGACGGCUAACUACGUGCCAGCAGCCGCGGUAAUACGUAGGUGGCAAGCGUUGUCCGGAUUUAUUGGGCGUAAAGCGAGCGCAGGCGGUCAAUUAAGUCUGAUGUGAAAGCCCCCGGCUCAACCGGGGAGGGUCAUUGGAAACUGGUUGACUUGAGUGCAGAAGAGGAGUGUGGAAUUCCAUGUGUAGCGGUGAAAUGCGUAGAUAUAUGGAGGAACACCAGUGGCGAAGGCGACUCUCUGGUCUGUAACUGACGCUGAGGUUCGAAAGCGUGGGUAGCAAACAGG